rnacentral:rRNA from 1 species
GACGAACCGGCCAAACGUUAUUCGGAUUUAUUGGGCUUAAAGGGUGCGUAGGCGGUGUGGUAAGUUGGGUGUGAAAUCUCUCGGCUCAACCGAGGAAUUGCGCCCAAUACUGCCGUGCUCGAGGGAGACAGAGGUGAGCGGAACUGAUGGUGGAGCGGUGAAAUGCGUUGAUAUCAUCAGGAACACCGGUGGCGAAAGCGGCUCGCUAGGUCUCUACUGACGCUGAGGCACGAAAGCUAGGGGAGCGAAUAGG